GAGGGCAUCGCUCAGUGGCAGAGUGCAUGCCUAUCAUGUACGAGGUCCUGGGUUCAAUCCCUAGUACCUGUA
rnacentral:tRNA from 1 species